CGAUGAGCUCAAACUCCGCUUCCCACGAGUUAGUUCCUACAAGCAAAGAAAGAGAGCGAUUGAAUGAGCCGUCCAUAACUCCUCAUGGAGCAGCUCCCUCUUCACCGAGCCCGCCGUGUAGCGCGGCCAUGUUUCUACGGGUGGCCUUCAGGUGGCGAACUACAGCGCCUCACACGAGCACUCUGUUCUUUCUCUUUUUUAAUUCUUUGCAAUGGGAGAAGUGUGAAGAGGAGCUCAAGAGUUUAUUCUGUGCCAAGCGCUGCACUUUUUUUUAUCCAAUCACGAUGGAGGAAGGAAAGGACAAAUACCACGAAGACCAAUCGUCGACCUCCUUCAUGUAGGACACGAGUAGCAACAAUAUCCUGUUGGGCGACAUUACAUAUUGCGUAAUAGUCGUUCCCAUCAGUCCCAGUUCCAUUCCCAUGGCAACGCCAGGACCUUGUCAAUAGAGUCUCGAGGUAAACUUAACUCACCUGAGAGUUCUCCGUGUACAACUUUAAUUAAUUUCCUGAGACGUCAAAGUACAUAUUUUAUCGACGAAGGAAGCCGUCGGUCCUGUCGGCCAAUUUGCUCACAUCUGCCGAUCCGUUAUAAAAGCAAGCGUGCUCGUCAGAGGCAGCGAGUGGAAUGUGCAGCCGACUGAUAAACAGCUGUCUGCCCUCAGAUAACCCCCCCCCCCCCCCCCCCGCUGAAGAUAACACACUCAUCAUCAUCAUCAUCAUCCCACAGUAGCAGACUAAUGACAAAUGGUUUAUUCUGCAUUUUGUCAGGACAAUAAAUAUAGUUUACACUUCUUUUUA